rnacentral:rRNA from 1 species
GAUGAACGCUGGCGGCGUGCCUAAUACAUGCAAGUCGGGCGAACAGACGAGGAGCUUGCUCCUCUGACGUUAGCGGCGGACGGGUGAGUAACACGUGGAUAACCUACCUAUAAGACUGGGAUAACUUCGGGAAACCGGAGCUAAUACCGGAUAAUAUAUUGAACCGCAUGGUUCAAUAGUGAAAGACGGUUUUGCUGUCACUUAUAGAUGGAUCCGCGCCGCAUUAGCUAGUUGGUAAGGUAACGGCUUAUUAAGGCAACGAUGCGUAGCCGACCUGAGAGGGUGAUCGGCCGCCCUGGAACUGAGACACGGUCAAGACUACUACGGGAGGCAGCAGUCGGGAAUCUUACGCAAUGGGCGAGAGCUUGACGGAGCAACGCCGCGUGAGUGAUGAAGGUCUUCGGAUCGUAAAACUCUGUUAUUAGGGAAGAACAAAUGUGUAAGUAACUAUGCACGUCUUGACGGUACCUAAUCAGAAAGCCACGGCUAACUACGUG